GACGAACGCUGGCGGCGUGCUUAACACAUGCAAGUCGAACGGAAAGGCCCUGCUUUUGUGGGGUGCUCGAGUGGCGAACGGGUGAGUAACACGUGAGUAACCUGCCCUUGACUUUGGGAUAACUUCAGGAAACUGGGGCUAAUACCGGAUAGGAGCUCCUGCGGCAUGGUGGGGGUUGGAAAGUUUCGGCGGUGGGGGAUGGACUCGCGGCUUAUCAGCUUGUUGGUGGGGUAGUGGCUUACCAAGGCUUUGACGGGUAGCCGGCCUGAGAGGGUGACCGGCCACAUUGGGACUGAGAUACGGCCCAGACUCCUACGGGAGGCAGCAGUGGGGAAUAUUGCACAAUGGGCGGAAGCCUGAUGCAGCAACGCCGCGUGCGGGAUGACGGCCUUCGGGUUGUAAACCGCUUUCGCCUGUGACGAAGCGUGAGUGACGGUAAUGGGUAAAGAAGCACCGGCUAACUACGUG
rnacentral:rRNA from 1 species